GAAAGAAAGACAGAGAGUGAGGGAGAGAGAGAGAGGGAGGGGUAAAAGUUAAAUUAUCACCUCUGAAAUUGCUGGAGGAAACAGCUAGCCCAUUCUGGGUGUGAAGUAUCACAUUUGCAGGUCAUCUCAAGAAAGAAAAGAAAAGAAAAGGAAAAGCUACAGCCUUUUCCUCAAAGCUUAUCUGUUGUGCUGCUGGGAGCACCUGCUGCUUUGCUAAUUGAGCAGAGGACGGGGGCCGGUGAGAGGGAGGGGACAGCAGAGAGGAAAUGGAAACUCGCAUCCUUGCUCUUCCUCUCUCACUCUCUCUCUCCAUGCUGCCACCCCUGCUCUCCUCCCAUCACCCUCUUGCUUUUUCGCUUCUCCCUACAUUUCUUACUCUCCUCCUCUUUCUUUUCAGUCCUCCUGUUUUCCCCUCCCCUGUUGGCUCUCUCCCGAACUCCCUCUAGAAAGGGACUCUUGACAUAAAAUGUCUUUAAUUAUUUUCCUCUCUCCUGGCUCUGUCUCCAGGACUCCAGGCGAGAGUGGAGGAGCAGCAGGCCCGAGCUUGUUUUAGGAUGACAAAAGAUUCACCCCGGCCACCAGGCCCUGGGGAGUCUGGGAAGGAAGUUGUCAAGAGGCUCUCCUCACCUGCUCAGCAGUAGUCUGACUGUGUUGUGGCAGAGCGAGGAGGAGGCAGAGAUAGCGAGGGACUGCUGCUCUCUGUGUGGGCUGUGCCAGCUUAGCACAAAAGCACAACGUUUGAUUGGGUUGCACAGGAGGUCUAGAUUACUGUAAUGCAGUUUGGUGUGGGCUGUUAGCAGUUGUACUGGCUUAAAUCACAAUUUUAAAAGAAAAACCUAUAAGUUUAAUCUUCAACCUCAAUUAGGGAAAAACAGAUGAAUUAAGAGUGUCGUCUACAGAACUGUGCCUGUGGCUGGUAAGGAUUUGGUGUCUUGCUCAUGGGCACUACAACAGGGCAGAUAUAACCAAAGCUCUCCAGAGGUGGUCAGCCUUACCAGCAGUAGUCCAGAAGAUGUGGGGGCAGUACAGGGAUGAAGAUGUGCUGCCAGUACAUAGGGAAUAGCACAGCAGCCGCACCAUGGACACAUGCAGUUAACUACAGAGAGAGAAUGAAG